CAAAGUAUAGUUUAAUUAAAAUUUUAAUUUUGGAGAUUAAAGAUGAGAGUUUCUUUACUUUGA
rnacentral:tRNA from 1 species